UUAUCAUCUUCUUUUUACCAAAUUGUCUCCUCCAGUUAGCGUGUGCAGAUGGGUGGAGCUAGCCGCCCCCCAUUUCCUUGUUAAAAAGUUCCAAAGCAGGAAAGAAAAUGGGUAAUUACUUAUAAACAGAAAGGAAGUAAAUAAUAUAUAUGGGGAUGGAAAGAAAAGAUUUACAGACUCGAAAGUCGAAAGUCGAAAGUCGAAAGCACAUGAAAUUACAGUAGAAGAAGAAUAUUAGUAGAUGUAGUAAGGUUGAGGUGGUCACGAGAAAGGACCAUAAAAAGGGGGGACUGUAAUGGCGUCAGCUGUUGCGUGAAGCGGGGUUGAGGGGAAGGAAGGAGGAUCUAACAGACCCCGGGGAGAAGGGUGUACGACUAGUGUC
rnacentral:lncRNA from 1 species